rnacentral:tRNA from 1 species
GCCACUUUAGCUCAGCUGGUAGAGCAGCUCCCUCGUAAAGAGCAGGUCGGGAGUUCGAGUCUCCCAAGUGGCU